GCCUACAGUGCCAUGAGUAGAUAUCUGAUACACUAUCUAAUCUAAGGUGCUUGCUAGUAGAAUAGACUCUUAUCGGGCUUGAUCUUUUUGGUCUGGCCCUAUACUGAUGUCCCAGCCUGAACUUGCACCUUCUUCACUUUCUUCUUCUUGUUCUUCUUCACUUUCUUAAAGGGUCGAGAACCAGAAGACGAACCUUUCAUUAAGUUCACC
rnacentral:lncRNA from 1 species